rnacentral:rRNA from 1 species
AAUUGACGGGGACCCGCACAAGCGGUGGAUGAUGUGGAUUAAUUCGAUGCAACGCGAAGAACCUUACCUACCCUUGACAUGUCCGGAACUUGCCAGAGAUGGCUUGGUGCCCGAAAGGGAAUCGGAACACAGGUGCUGCAUGGCUGUCGUCAGCUCGUGUCGUGAGAUGUUGGGUUAAGUCCCGCAACGAGCGCAACCCUUAUCAUUAGUUGCUACGCAAGGGCACUCUAAUGAGACUGCCGGUGACAAACCGGAGGAAGGUGGGGAUGACGUCAAGUCCUCAUGGCCUUUAUGACCAGGGCUACACACGUACUACAAUGGCCGGUACAAAGGGCAGCGACACAGCGAUGUGAAGCCAAUCCCGAAAAGCCGGUCUCAGUCCGGAUUGGAGUCUGCAACUCGACUCCAUGAAGUUGGAAUCGCUAGUAAUCGCGGAUCAGCACGCCGCGGUGAAUACGUUCCCGGGCCUU